rnacentral:rRNA from 1 species
CACGUAGGGCGCAAGCGUUGUCCGGAAUUAUUGGGCGUAAAGAGCUCGUAGGCGGUCUGUUGCGUCCGCUGUGAAAACUCGGGGCUUAACCCCGAGCCUGCAGUGGAUACGGGCAGACUAGAGGUAGGUAGGGGAGAAUGGAAUUCCCGGUGUAGCGGUGAAAUGCGCAGAUAUCGGGAGGAACACCAGUGGCGAAGGCGAUCACCUGGGGUUGUUCUGACGCUGAGGAGCGAAAGCUAGGGGAGCAAACGGG